ACCAAUCAGAGCCAGGAGGCGGGUCUUAUCACUGUCAACCAUAAUCAUGUGUGGCGGCCUCCAUUCUCCCCUCCACUCCUAGCUCUCUGCUACGAUACCGCUAGCGGAGCCUGUAGUGAAUCCUCAGGCUAGUUAGCAUGGCCACCGAUGACAGCAGAUAAAUGGUUCUUCUGUAAGGUGCUACAGUGCCACCAACUGGCCCGGCAGACCUACUACAUCAUAUUCUAUGGCCUGCAACUUGUCUUGUGGAUGCAUGUACUGUAUUUUCCUUAAUCAAAAAUACGCCAUAGUAUCUAACAGUUCCAAAACAAUUUGAGCUCCAAGAUCACAACAAGCAAAAAUGCAGACCAUCUAUUUUUACAGAUUAGUUCAAAACUUGCUGGUGGACAAGCAAGUUUGAACGAUAAAGGCAUGUGUGUGAACAACCAGAUUAUCCGUCAGAUCAGCAUAUUGUUUGAAACUUGUUCGUGCCUCUCGGAUGAGAAAUGGAUCUUGGCCUGGAGGGAAAUGGGAAAAUGUUGUGAUUGUUACGUUCAGCCUGGCAGCGGGGAAGAGAAUGGCGUGUUCCUGGCAGGAUCCCGACCCAUCAGAACACACGCUAUUAUCACAGUCUGGUCCAUAGAGCCGCAUGUGUGUUUCCACAAAGGCCUUCAAUGCUGCUGAACCCUCAGACUGCAUCACUGAAUGCACCAUGAUGACAAGUAAAAGAUGGGAUGUUAAGAAGUGUAAAAUCAGGUCUGCUCUGCAAACAACAUGGUUUUACACUUUUUUCCCCUGCAUUCAGGAAACACAGGCUUCCAGAAUGCAGAACAUCAAUUUGUAACAUUUACAUUGAGACUCUCAGCGGUAGGCUAGAGCCCCCUGCUGGUAGAUCUGACACAUUCCAGUUCAGAUGUAGAAAUAUGCCUCAAUGCAGAGGCUGCCCUCUGCUGUUCAAGAAAGAAAGUGCAAACCACUAACUAAAGAUGUUUAUUUAAUUUCAAACUGGUGACUUGUAAGCAUUUCAUUUUCUGAGCAACUUCUUGUGUCACAUUUUGUUUCUUUAGCUUAUUAAUCUUACUUUCUAUUUUGAUGGUUCUGUAAGCAUCUCUGCUGCAUAAAUGCUGCCAGCUGUUGUACAGCGAACAGUGGCAAUUCUGUUUGGGUGUGUCCGAUUUACUUUUCUUGUUACCGAAUCUGAUCUUUCAUGAGUGAAAGCUAUAGUCUUAAAGCGGCUUUACCUGUUCUCUGCAAAAACUCGCCCUCACCACGGGGGGACGGAGAGAACAACGAGACAAAGUACUAAUAGUUUAACGCUAGCUGUUAUCACCGGAAAUAUUCUGAUUGAAGUUCAUUGUUCUGGGUUUAUUACAUAACGGUGGAAAUUACUUAUUGUCCUAAAAUCUCUGUUUUUAUCAAACUCAUUAAACAAUGGAAGGGAGUAAAGGUGAAUAAAGUAAUAAAAUAAAAUAUUAUCAAGAAUAUUUUAAGACCAUUCUGAUGAUUUGGAAACAAUGAUUAAAACAAGAGUCAGCAAGAGCAACCUGGUGCCUGUUACCAGUAAACUACGUAAUACAUUAUGCAUUUCAGUCAUAAGAAUUUGACCAGAAGACAACAUUGAUUCAACAACAUCUGUUCUUUUUUUAACAAAACAGCUGAAAUUCAAGUCCAGACACAGGGUGUAACUCUAAAGGGAAUAUGUUAAGUAAUAAUAGAUGACAAAAUCAGUUGGAAACCUCAUAUUAAACAUUUACAGAAUAAACUAUGUAGAAGCACAUCAGUCCUGGCUAAAGCCAGACAUAUUCUGAAUAAUAAAUCACUUCAUAUUCUAUACAACUCUCUGAUUUUGCCAUAUUUAACAUAUUGUUCAAAGGUGUGGGGAAUCCAAUACAAAAGCUCUUUACAACCACGGAGUAUCCUACAGAAACGAGCCAUUAGUCAUCUACAUUGUCGGUUUUCAUGAGCACACAAACACGCUACUCUUCAAAUAUAGAAGUCUUAAAUUUGAAGAUCUGGUGUAAUUUAAAUGGCUCAAAUUAUAUUUAAGGUAUCUAAUAAACCAUUACCUGAGCUCAUACAAAACAUGUUUUUUUGAAAGAAAAGGGGGAUAUAACUUAAGGGGUUACUCAAACUUAAGGAUUCGUAGUUUACGCACAAGAGCUGUUGUCCAAAAACUGGGCUACAAAUUGACACUAUUGUCUUUUCUCUCUCUCUCUUUGAA